UACGAAGGGGGCUAGCGUUACUCGGAAUUACUGGGCGUAAAGGGCGCGUAGGCGGCUCUGCAAGUCAGGCGUGAAAUUCCCGGGCUCAACCUGGGGACUGCGCUUGAGACUGCUGGGCUAGAGGAUGGAAGAGGGUCGUGGAAUUCCCAGUGUAGAGGUGAAAUUCGUAGAUAUUGGGAAGAACACCGGUGGCGAAGGCGGCGACCUGGUCCAUUACUGACGCUGAGGCGCGACAGCGUGGGGAGCAAACAGG
rnacentral:rRNA from 1 species